AUUUUGGGCAAUGGGCGAAAGCCUGACCCAGCAACGCCGCGUGAGGGAUGAAGUAUUUCGGUAUGUAAACCUCGAAAGAAUGGGAAGAAUAAAUGACGGUACCAUUUAUAAGCUCCGGCUAACUACGUGCCAGCAGCCGCGGUAAUACGUAGGGAGCACGCGCUGUUCGGAUUUACUGGGCGUAAAGGGCGCGUAGGCGGCGCGGUAAGUCACUUGUGAAAUCUCUGAGCUUAACUCAGAACGGCCAAGUGAUACUGCUGUGCUAGAGUGCGGAAGAGGAAACCGGAAUUCUUGGGGUAGCGGUGAAAUGCGUAGAUAUCAAGAGGAACACCUGAGGCGAAGGCGGGUUGCUGGGCCGACACUGGCGCUGAUGCGCGGAAGCCAGGGGAG
rnacentral:rRNA from 1 species